AUGAGACUCCAGUUUGACAGGGACGCGGAGGAGAACUAUGAGGAGAAGCGGACAAGAAUAAGUAGACUACUUUACAAAGCAAACUUAGCUAUUGAGCGACAUGCUGGGAAGAUAUACACGCGGGCUAUGUUUGAGCAGUUCGGGCACAUACUGUAUGAGUGCGGCGCAUACCAGGUGGAAGAGCUCGAGAAGGGGAACUUUACCUUGCCAUACAUACAGAUGCAGCGAGGAGGGAAAAGUGGUGCAGAGUGUCAUACAAGGUAA
rnacentral:rRNA from 1 species